UACGUAGGGGGCAAGCGUUGUCCGGAUUUAUUGGGCGUAAAGAGCGUGUAGGCGGUUUGGUAGGUCCGCUGUGAAAACUCGAGGCUCAACCUCGAGACGCCGGUGGAAACCAUCAGACUAGAGUCCGGAAGAGGAGAGUGGAAUUCCUGGUGUAGCGGUGAAAUGCGCAGAUAUCUGGAGGAACACCGGUGGCGAAGGCGGCAUCCUGGACCGGUAUUGACGCUGAUGAGCGAAAGCCAGGGGAGCAAACGGG
rnacentral:rRNA from 1 species